UACGUAGGUGGCAAGCGUUGUCCGGAAUUAUUGGGCGUAAAGCGCGCGCAGGCGGUCCUUUAAGUCUGAUGUGAAAGCCCACGGCUCAACCGUGGAGGGUCAUUGGAAACUGGGGGACUUGAGUGCAGAAGAGGAGAGUGGAAUUCCACGUGUAGCGGUGAAAUGCGUAGAGAUGUGGAGGAACACCAGUGGCGAAGGCGACUCUCUGGUCUGAAACUGACGCUGAGGCGCGAAAGCGUGGGGAGCAAACAGG
rnacentral:rRNA from 1 species